CAGCCCUCUUUCCUCGUUCUCAAAUUCUCAUAACACACACUAGCCUUUUUUUAAUUCUGAUUUCUUCAUUUUUUUUCUCCUACGAUUCUAACUAAUGUUUCAUUCUAAUUUCUUCAUCUUUCCUGCUAGGGUCUGGAUAGUUUGCCAAAAUGGUGACCGUACCUCAUUAUUUCUCUUUUCUCUUUCGCUUCUCCUCCAUAUGCACGUUUUUUACCAAUCGGGCACCGCCAUGGACGGAGCCUUGACGACGGAGAGGGUGGCGGUGCUAUCGUCGCCGAUGAGUUUGAGGUCUGUGACGCAGACGGUGAACGGAUCGCACAAGUUCGUGAUCCUAUACACUCACAAUUGUAUAUAUGAGGUUCACGGUUGGAGGGUACCACUGGGCUAUCUACUAUACACUGAAAAUUGGGUGACACUGAUAAAUGUAAUAUGAGGUGAGAGAGAUGACUUCAAUAUGGCAUACAGAUGAGCUUAGGAGUCAAAAACCCACCCCUGUUGAUGAAGCUAGAGCUGGUAAGCUGCUCAAGUAUUAUAUAUGUCAGCUCUUGCAUACUUUGGUUCACAUUAAAUGAAAUUAAUGAAAAUUUGGCAUAUAAGAAUUGCUUGUUUUAUUUAAUUCCCCAUUUCGAAGAAGUUUUUGGAUAGUGUUCGCUCUCUUGGAAGUCCUGAAGGUGUUCAUAUUAACGGUAAAAACGGUGCGUUGGAACCACUUUACACAAUGGAGCCUGGUAAGACUUAUAAAUACAGAAUCUGUAACAUUGGUCUUAAGGACUCACUUAACUUCAGGAUUCAAGGACACCCCAUGAAGCUUGUUGAGAUGGAAGGGUCCCAACUGCAGAUUCAGGUUGAUAUGCUAUCUCGGAUUAUCAUUAAGUCUAUGGGUCCACCCCUUUCUUCUCUAGAUUUAUUUCUCACAGAUUUAUUUUCAGCUUCUUGAUGCUGAUAUCUGUAGGGAUUGUGUUGUUUUGUGGUGAACUAAAUUGAUUGCUUUGUUUUGCUUACCCUCAUCUUUUAUAUAUCCAUGAACCUUAGUCAUCAAAGAUUUUCUUUUGGUUUUCUUCUGAAGGGCUUGACGAAGGUGCGUGAUGAACACAUGAUUUCUAUGUAUAUUACUCUAUUCUUAGCUUUUUCCUUCCAUUAUGACUUAAUUUCUUUGUAUGUUGUUGCCUCUCCUUUCUUCUUUUUAUGACAGCAUACAGGAAAGCCACUUCCAUUGAGAGCAAAUGCCCUUAGAAAGGCUAGUGUCUUUUGGUUUUUACUCCGCUGAUUAUGACUUCCAAUUCAAACCUACAUUGUGUACUUGGGAGGACAUUCUCAUGGUCCAGACCCUUCGUACAAGAGAGGCUUCUGAAACAUCAUGUUCUUUAUCUUCAUGUACUCAACCUGAGAUUGUAGCCACAGAAAGCUUCUGGUCUUUGCAUUUAUUAUUCUUGCUAGUCACGAGGCAUCAAGUAUGUUGUCUUAUGUAUUUUAGAAAUGUUGGAUAGGACUGUUGCUAUAAGGAAGUUCCAUCCAUAUAACAUACAAGUACCUCAGUUUUAUCAAGAGGUUCAAGUUCUUGGUUGUCUCCAGCACCCACAAACAAUUGGCCUUUUAAAGUGGAGAAAUGGGAGGUACAAAGAAGGGAUAUAUGGGCCAGAAGGUAAAUAUUGGUUUUGGAGUUAUAUUAUAAGUCAUCAAUAUAUGGGCCAGAACGUAAAUAUUUUGGUCUCUUGACAUGGUUUUCUCACAAGCAUUGCUUUGAGACUUAAUACAGCUAUAAUGAUGCUCGGCGGGUAUAAUAUCCAUUGUACAUGGGAGUCAAAAUAUUGAGAGAGAAUACAGCUGAUGAUGAUGAAACAGAGUGAUGAGUAGCAUAUACUUAUUAGUAUUGGAUAGUCAAUAUUUAUUUAUUUAUUUUUCACUUCAUUAUUAUUGUUUUUUUAACAUUUUUUAACAAGUUUUAUUCGUUGUAGGUCCACAUUAAUUUUUGCUUUGCUUAAAAUUCUU